GAUGAACGCUGGCGGCGUGCCUAAUACAUGCAAGUCGAGCGAACGGACGAGAAGCUUGCUUCUCUGAUGUUAGCGGCGGACGGGUGAGUAACACGUGGAUAACCUACCUAUAAGACUGGGAUAACUUCGGGAAACCGGAGCUAAUACCGGGUAAUAUUUUGAACCGCAUGGUUCAAAAGUGAAAGACGGUCUUGCUGUCACUUAUAGAUGGAUCCGCGCUGCAUUAGCUAGUUGGUAAGGUAACGGCUUACCAAGGCAACGAUGCAUAGCCGACCUGAGAGGGUGAUCGGCCACUCUGGAACUGAGACGCGGUCCAGACUCCUACGGGGGGCAGCAGUAGGGAAUCUUCCGCAAUGGGCGAAAGCCUGACGGAGCAACGACGCGUGAGUGAUGAAGGUCUUCGGAUCGUAAAACUCUGUUAUUAGGGAAGAACAUAUGUGUAAGUAACUGUGCACAUCUUGACGGUACCUAAUCAGAAAGCCACGGCUAACUACGUG
rnacentral:rRNA from 1 species